GCAGUUAGAGAACAGUUAGUUGCCAUUUGGUUGUCAGUAAGUGGGUUGUGAGAGGGUGUGCUUGGAGGGUUUGAAAGUAAAAAUUAGACUGGGCAAGGAAAGGACUUCUCCGAAGAAGGGAGAAGUGUGGGUUCUAGGGAGAGGAAGAUCAGCACUAUAAAGGAAAGCCCAACAUUUCUGUUCAGGAUGAAGACCUGAGCUGGGAGGCAGGUGAUGGAACAGAGGAAGAGAAGAAAUUCACAUGUCCUGAAUGUAGAAAGAUCCUGAGUUCCAAGAACCACCUUAUUGAACACAAAAGAAUCCAUAGUGGAGAGAAGCCCUUCGAGUGCCCUGAGUGUGGAAGAAAAUUCAUCUGGAAGAAUAACUUGGCUCAGCACUUGAAAAUCGAUCAAGGUUGCUUGAUGGGAAAGCAUUGGUGCCCUGAGUGUGGGAAAGGCUUUCCAUGGAAAUCACAACUUACAAGUCAUCAGAGAAUCCCACACAGGGGUGAAGCUCUUUGAAUGCACCAAGUGUGGAAAACAUUUCAGUGGAAGAGGGGGACUCAUGAAGCAUCUAAAGACUUUCACUGGAGAGAUACCAGUAAACCCAACAACGAUGGCCAAGGAUUCCUUGUGGAGACAAAUGCUGACUCAGCAUCAUAGAACCAGCCUGGGUGAAAACUCUCUGGAGCAACUCAGUCAGGAUUGGCCAAGAGAAAUAACACACUUACACAAGAGCAAAUGACUAUGUCCUAACACAGAGACUUCGUUCAUGGUUUGGAAAGGGUUAAAGUAAAAAAACAAACCACUUUUGUAAAAAAGACAAAACUAAUUUUGAACUUGCAAACUUUAAAAAGCCUGGUUGAACCUAAAGAACUGUAACAAUGGCACCCAACAAACCUCACUUGGGCAGCUAUUCCAGAAAUGGGUUAUCUUAAUUUUUAAUAAUUUGUUUUAACAACUGUUUUUAUUGUGUUUUGUGGAUUUUAAUCUGUGACUUUUAUGUUUUAAAUUUUGUACGCUGCCUAGAGAUGUAUAUAUCAGGUGGUACAGAAAUACAAUAGGUAAAUCUUC